rnacentral:rRNA from 1 species
UAGACCGCUUGGGGAGUACGGCCGCAAGGUUAAAACUCAAAUGAAUUGACGGGGGCCCGCACAAGCGGUGGAGCAUGUGGUUUAAUUCGAUGCAACGCGAAGAACCUUACCUGGUCUUGACAUCCACAGAACUUUCCAGAGAUGGACUGGUGCCUUCGGGAACUGUGAGACAGGUGCUGCAUGGCUGUCGUCAGCUCGUGUUGUGAAAUGUUGGGUUAAGUCCCGCAACGAGCGCAACCCUUAUCCUUUGUUGCCAGCGGUUAGGCCGGGAACUCAAAGGAGACUGCCAGUGAUAAACUGGAGGAAGGUGGGGAUGACGUCAAGUCAUCAUGGCCCUUACGACCAGGGCUACACACGUGCUACAAUGGCGCAUACAAAGAGAAGCGACCUCGC